rnacentral:lncRNA from 1 species
UCCCCCUUUAAUUUCAUUUUUCCCCUUUUAUUUUAUUUUUCCUUUUAUUUCAUUUUUCUCCUUUUAUUUUAUUUCCCCCCCCUUUUAUUUUAUUUUUUUUAUUUUAAUUUAAUUUAAUUUUUCCCCCUUUUAUUUCAUUUUACUUUAUUUUUCUCCUUUUAUUUUAUUUUCCUCCCCUUUAUUUUAUUUCAUUUUUUCCCUUUUAUUUCCUUUUCCCUUUAUUUUAUUUCAUUUUCCCUUUAUUUCAUUUCCUUUUAUUUCAUUUUUUCCCUUUUAUUUCAUUUUUUCCCCUUUAUUUUAUUUCAUUUUUCCCUUUUUAUUCCCUUUUUUCCCUUUCCCGGGGCUCUGGGGGGAGUCCCAGGGGGUUUAUUUUGAUUUCCCCCUCCCCUCACUCUUUAGAGGCCUAAUUUUAUAUCUAUUAAAAAAAAAACCACCACAAAUGAACCAAAACUUGGACGUUUCAACCUAAAAAAAAACCCACAAAACCCACAAAAAAAGCCAAGAAUUGUAAAAGUUUGAAUAUUGAAGAUAUAUAUUAUAUAUAAAUGCAAUAAAAACCGACAGAACCAGGCUGGGGGUCCCCCA